GGAGGAAAAGAAACUAACUAGGAUGCCUUCAGUAGCGGCGAGCGAAGCAGGCAUAGCUCAAAUUUGUAAUCUGGCUGUUUUACAGUCCGAGUUGUAAUUUCUAGAGGCGAGUUCGGUGGCAGCCCUGGUUCAAGUCCGCUGGAACGCGGCGUCAUGGAGGGUGAGAAUCCCGUGAAUGAUCAGGUGUCUGUUGCUAUGUGAACCGUUUUCGAAGAGUCGAGUUGUUUGGGAAUGCAGCUCUAAAUGGGAGGUAAAUUUCUUCUAAAGCUAAAUAUUGGCCAGAGACCGAUAGCGAACAAGUAGAGUGAUCGAAAGAUGAAAAGAACUUUGAAAAGAGAGUUAAACAGUACGUGAAAUUGUUGAAAGGGAAGCGCUUGAGAUCAGACUUCCUGCGCAGACUAUCCUUGCUUCUGCUUGGGUCAAUAGUCUGUGCGUGGAGGCCAGCAUCAGUUUUGACGGUCGGAUAAAGGUUUGGGGAAGGUGGCUCACCUCGGUGAGUGUUAUAGCCCCAGAUGCAAUACGGCCAGUUGGGACUGAGGACCGCGGCUUUGCCUAGGAUGCUGGCGUAAUGGUCUUAAGCGACC
rnacentral:rRNA from 1 species